rnacentral:rRNA from 1 species
UACAGAGGGUGCAAGCGUUAAUCGGAAUUACUGGGCGUAAAGCGUGCGUAGACGGUUGCGUAAGUCAGAUGUGAAAGCCCCGGGCUCAACCUGGGAAUUGCAUUUGAGACUGCGUAGCUAGGGUGCGGAAGAGGGAAGCGGAAUUUCCGGUGUAGCGGUGAAAUGCGUAGAUAUCGGAAGGAACACCAGUGGCGAAAGCGGCUUCCUGGUCCAGCACCGACGUUCAGGCACGAAAGCGUGGGGAGCGAACCGG